AUGGUGGAUACACAUUGGAAGGUGAUGGCUAUGACCUUUCGGUCGCAAGGUGAUGCAUACAUAUUCUAUAACAAUCAUGCCAAAGAGAACAGGUUUAGCAGCAGAAAAAAGAAGGUCAAACGAGGUGCUUCAGGAAUGAUACGGUACCGGAGAUUUCUUUGCUCCAGGGCAGGUAGAAGGCAGAGCAAGUUUAUAACCAUGGAGGGCCGCAAGCGCAGGCUUAGACCGGAGACUCGUUGCGAUUGUGGUGCACAUAUGGUGGUGAAGCUGGACAGAGAAUGUGGUGUUUGGUUCGUUGCGUCAUUCGUGGAUGAUCACAAUCACGCGAUGGCUAGGCCCGACGAGGUUUGUUUUUUGUGGUCACACAGACGGAUUGGAGAAGGCACGAGGGCAGAGAUAUUGGCGUUGGAAGCUGCCGAGAUAAGAAAGCAUAUAAUAAUGGACAACUUUAUUAGCAGAUACGGUUCGUACGAUAAGUGCGCGCUUAUCAGGAGGGAUAUUUACAAUCUUUGUUGCAGAGAAAAAAUGAAGCUCAUUGCAAAAGGUGACGGAGAGACGGCAGUUGGUAUUAUGAGGAGCAGGAAGGAGAAGGACCCUGAGUUUUUUUGA
rnacentral:rRNA from 1 species